rnacentral:tRNA from 1 species
GCCUCCGUAGCAUAGCGGUGGUGCACGUCCUUGGUAAGGACGAGGUCGUGGGUUCAAAUCCCGCCGGAGGCU